rnacentral:rRNA from 1 species
AGUGGCGGACGGGUGAGUAACGCGUAGGAAUUUGUCCAUGGGUGGGGGAUAACCUUGGGAAACUGGGGCUAAUACCGCAUGAAGCCUUCGGGCUAAAGCAGCGAUGCGCCGAUGGAGGAGCCUGCGUCCGAUUAGCUUGUUGGUUGGGUAAUGGCUGACCAAGGCUGUGAUCGGUAGCUGGUCUGAGAGGAUGAUCAGCCACACUGGGACUGAGACACGGCCCAGACUCCUACGGGAGGCAGCAGUGGGGAAUAUUGGACAAUGGGCGCAAGCCUGAUCCAGCAAUGCCGCGUGGAUGAAGAAGGUUUUCGGAUUGUAAAGUCCUUUCGGCGGGGACGAUGAUGACGGUACCCGCAGAAGAAGCCCCGGCUAACUUCGUGCCAGCAGCCGCGGUAAUACGAAGGGGGCUAGCGUUGCCCGGAAUGACUGGGCGUAAAGGGCGCGUAGGCGGAUUUGUCAGUUGGGCGUGAAAUUCCUGGGCUCAACCUGGGGGCUGCGUUCGAGACGGCGGGUCUUGAGUGGGGAAGAGGGUCGUGGAAUUCCCAGUGUAGAGGUGAAAUUCGUAGAUAUUGGGAAGAACACCGGUGGCGAAGGCGGCGACCUGGUCCUUUUACUGACGCUGAGGCGCGAAAGCGUGGGGAGCAAAC